rnacentral:rRNA from 1 species
CCUACGGGAGGCAGCAGUGAGGAAUAUUGGUCAAUGGGCGCGAGCCUGAACCAGCCAAGUAGCGUGAAGGAUGACUGCCCUACGGUUUGUAAACUUCUUUUAUAAAGGAAUAACAUGAGGCACGUGUGCCUUUUUAUAUGUACUUUGUGAAUAAGGAUCGGCUAACUCCGUGACCGCAGCCGCGGUAAUACGGAGGCGCCGAGCGUGAUCCAGAUUUAUUGGGUUUAAAGGGAGAGUAGAUGGGUUGUUAAGUCAGUUGUGAAAGUGUGCGGCUCAACCGUAAAAUUGCAAUUGAUACUGGCAGCCUUGAGUACAGUUGAGGUAGGCGGAAUUCGUGGUGUAGCGGUGAAAUGCUUAGAUAUCACGAAGAACUCCGAUUGCGAAGGCAGCCUACUAAACUGCCACUGACAUUGAUGCUCGAAAGUGUGGGUAUCAAACAGGAUUAGAUACCCCUGUAGUC